rnacentral:rRNA from 1 species
CCUACGGGUGGCAGCAGUGGGGAAUAUUGCACAAUGGGGGAAACCCUGAUGCAGCGACGUCGCGUGAGUGAAGAAGUAUCUCGGUAUGUAAAGCUCUAUCAGUAGGGAAGAAAAUGACGGUACCUGAUCAAGAAGCCCCGGCUAACUACGUGCCAGCAGCCGCGGUUAUACGGAGGGGGCAAGCGUUAUCCGGAUUUACUGGGUGUAAAGGGGGCGUAGACGGCAGCACAAGUCUGGAGUGAAAUGCCGGGGCUUAACCCCGGAACUGCUUUUGAAACUGUGCAGCUAGAGUGCAGGAGAGGUAGGUGGAAUUCGUGGUGUAGCGGUGAAAUGCGUAGAUAUUAGGAGGAACACCGGUGGCGAAGGCGGCUUACUGGACUGUAACUGACGUUGAGGCUCGAAAGCGUGGGGAGCAAACAGGAUUAGAUACCCCUGUAGUC